UUUCCGUAGGUGAACCUGCGGAAGGAUCAUUAAAGAAUUGCCCCGUCUUCUCCACAAUGGGUUCUAUGCCAAUCCGUGUUUACAUACCUUUGUUGCUUUGGCGGGCCGCCGCUUCGGCGUUGGCUCCGGCGCACUGCGCCCGCCAGAUGACCAUCAAUCUUUUGUUUAUGAAUGUCUGAUUACUAAAUAAUAGUUAAAACUUUCAACAACGGAUCUCUUGGUUCUG
rnacentral:misc_RNA from 1 species